CAGAAUAAGGGCACACUAGAUUAACG
rnacentral:miRNA from 1 species